ACGGCGAGUGAAGCGGCACAGCUCAAAUUUGAAAUCUGGCGCAGCCCGAGUUGUAAUUUGGAGAGGAUGCUUCUAGGCAGCGGCCGGUCUAAGUUCCUUGGAACAGGACGUCAUAUAGGGUGAGAAUCCCGUAUGCGACCGGUUGGCACCUAACACGUAGCUCCUUCUACGAGUCGAGUUGUUUGGGAAUGCAACUCUAAAUGGGAGGUAAAUUUCUUCUAAAGCUAAAUACUGGCCAGAGACCGAUAGCGCACAAGUAGAGUGAUCGAAAGAUGAAAAGCACUUUGGAAAGAGAGUUAAAAAGCACGUGAAAUUGUUGAAAGGGAAGCGCAUGCAACCAGACUUGUCGGCGGUGUUCCGCCAGUCUUUUGACCGGUCUACUCGCCGCCGGCAGGCCAGCAUCACUUGGGACCGCCGGACAAAGGCCACGGGAAUGUAGCUCCUCGGAGUGUUAUAGCCCGCGGCACAAUACGGCGCGCCCCGAGUGAGGUCCGCGCUUCGGCUAGGAUGCUGGCGUAAUGGUCGUAUGCGGCCCGUCU
rnacentral:rRNA from 1 species